UGUGUUGUUGGGUAGGGGAGCGUUCUGUAAGCCUGCGAAGGUGUCUCGUGAGGGAUGCUGGAGGUAUCAGAAGUGCGAAUGCUGACAUAAGUAACGAUAAUGCGGGUGAAAAACCCGCACGCCGGAAGACCAAGGGUUCCUGUCCAACGUUAAUCGGGGCAGGGUGAGUCGACCCCUAAGGCGAGGCCGAAAGGCGUAGUCGAUGGGAAACAGGUUAAUAUUCCUGUACUUGGUGUUACUGCGAAGGGGGGACGGAGAAGGCUAUGUUAGCCGGGCGACGGUUGUCCCGGUUUAAGCAUGUAGGCGGAGGUUCCAGGUAAAUCCGGUACCUUAUUAACGCUGAGGUGUGAUGACGAGGCACUACGGUGCUGAAGUAACAAAUGCCCUGCUUCCAGGAAAAGCCUCUAAGCAUCAGGUAACAUCAAAUCGUACCCCAAACCGACACAGGUGGUCAGGUAGAGAAUACCAAGGCGCUUGAGAGAACUCGGGUGAAGGAACUAGGCAAAAUGGUGCCGUAACUUCGGGAGAAGGCACGCUGAUAUGUAGGUGAAGUGGUUUACCCAUGGAGCUGAAAUCAGUCGAAGAUACCAGCUGGCUGCAACUGUUUAUUAAAAACACAGCACUGUGCAAACACGAAAGUGGACGUAUACGGUGUGACGCCUGCCCGGUGCCGGAAGGUUAAUUGAUGGGGUUAUCCGUAAGGAGAAGCUCUUGAUCGAAGCCCCGGUAAACGGCGGCCGUAACUAUAACGGUCCUAAGGUAGCGAAAUUCCUUGUCGGGUAAGUUCCGACCUGCACGAAUGGCGUAAUGAUGGCCAGGCUGUCUCCACCCGAGACUCAGUGAAAUUGAACUCGCUGUGAAGAUGCAGUGUACCCGCGGCAAGACGGAAAGACCCCGUGAACCUUUACUAUAGCUUGACACUGAACACUGGUCCUUGAUGUGCAGGAUAGGUGGGAGGCUUUGAAGCGCGGACGCCAGUUCGUGUGGAGCCAUCCUUGAAAUACCACCCUUUAAUGGCUGGUGUUCUAACGUAGACCCGUGAUCCGGGUUGCGGACAGUGUCUGGUGGGUAGUUUGACUGGGGCGGUCUCCUCCUAAAGAGUAACGGAGGAGCACGAAGGUUAGCUAAUCCUGGUCGGACAUCAGGAGGUUAGUGCAAAGGCAUAAGCUAGCUUGACUGCGAGCGUGACGGCGCGAGCAGGUGCGAAAGCAGGUC
rnacentral:rRNA from 1 species